rnacentral:misc_RNA from 1 species
GCCCAGCGGUGCUGAUUAGGGGUUGUUUUUACUCUCCCUUGCAAUUAUUUUGUACUUGUAGGGGUGCAUGUAGGCACGGUCCUUGUGAUGCGGUACGUGAUGGUGUGUGAGUGGUAUUUGGUUUGUGUGGUUGGCGGGCUCUUUGCUUGUGCAUUGGACCGUUCACCAACAUACCUUUUCAUUGUAUGCUGCAAGUGCACCAUUUUGCCUUGGGCGACGUGUGGUCCCUAUGUUGGAUUCCGAUUAACGGUAUUGUUGUUGUCCCUUUAAAGAGUGAUAUUCGCUCUACGUCCGUAAAAGGAGGUCGAGCGGACCAUGAAACUUGACUCGUUAUCCUCCUGUUUUGUGAAAACAAGCAUGAUAGGGUUGGAUUAUGAUCUCAAGUUGGGCCCUAGGAUACAGAAAGUUGUGUGGGAGUUGAUGUAAAAACGUCGCAAACCCAAAGCGUUGGUACGCUAAUGAUGGAUGACAUUCGAGUGUGUUGUGAUUCUUUCAUUCUAGAAAGGUUCAUGCUCGCCGAUGUCGACCAAGGAGUGCUACCUGGUUGAUCCUGCCAGUAGUCAUAUGCUUGUCUCAAAGAUUAAGCCAUGCAUGUGUAAGUAUGAACUAAUUCAGACU